UUGCCUCAGCGCCGACCCCCAGGCCCAGCCCCCGCCGCGGCUGGAGCGACCAGGGGCACCGCGGCACCGCCUGGGCGGGAUCCCAGCGCUUGGUUCCUCGACUCUGCGUCCGCCUGCCCAACGGCUUGCCUGCCUCCCCUCGCUCUCCCGCUCCGGCUCCCGCUCCCUCCCCCUUGGCUGCUCGCUCCUGGCACCCUUUUGUUGCAAAUAAACUUUGCGGCAGAGGCAAGGGGGCGGGGGGCGGGGCCUCGAGCCCAAAAGAGGGGGUGGGCUCCGGGCGUGCGCGAGCCUGGGAACCGGGUGGUGGGAGGGAAUCAGGGAGGAGUUGAAGAAGAAAAAGCCUGCUGGAGGACUUGCAGACUGAGGCGACCCUCUGGCCCUCCAGAGACGUCCUCGGGAGCCCAGCAGGCCGAGCUGCCCCCAGGGAGUCGCUGAGACACACGCAACCGCUGAGCGUGCUCAGCUCCGCAGACUCGCAGCCAGGGCGCCGCGUCCACCGCGGGCCACCAGCCUCGCGCGGGAAACACCUCCUGCCCAGGGGCUCCAACAUGGCAACCUCGGACUCACAAACUCUCGUACACACUGACACUCAGCUGCCACGCCUUCCACCUGCCCCUGCAGUCUGGCGGCUCUUCUCCUGGACUCUCCGCCUGGAUCCCCGAGCCUCUUUCCUUCUUGCUCUGGAGUACGCGGCUCUUGCGCCCCCUCGCGGCGUGAUUUUGCCAACGCACGGAGUCCUGGACGGAUAAAGCAGCACCCAUCCCCAAAAAACGGAGAGUUGUGAAAACUUCCUUUCAGUCGUUACCUAAUCCCCUUAGUCUUUUUCAGACCUUCGCAAAGCGCACUGCCCCUUCUUAGGCCUUAUACACAAAAGGAGCUUCGACCGGAACGCCCUCGACUUCCCACUGCCAAACCUAUACUCCUACCCGCAGCUGCUUCACCUUCUUGGCAGGGAAAGUGUAGGUUGUUUCUCUGGCUUCACGCUGAUCCCUCGCUUGAGCUCCCCUCCCGCCCCUGCCUCCGUCUGAGUCUUACAUUGUUCUCGGUAUUGGGACAUCAUCCCCUUCCGCAUUCCCACCUGCCUCUAGAUCCCAUUCAUCCUCCCGGCCCAACUAACGAAUGAACGAACGAAUGAAAAU
rnacentral:lncRNA from 1 species